AAUGCAUUACUUCAGAAAAAGUAGAAGAUGAAGGGCUACACUUACAUCUUUGUUCUCACUUCGUUUUUUUUUUGUUGCUUUUCUUCUUCUUCUUCUUCA
rnacentral:ribozyme from 1 species